AAGGAGCCAGAGCUACCAAAAGCACAUCACCCUGAAGAUUUGCAGAGCCAUCUCCGUGAGCGGAGGGCCGGAGGGUCGGAGAGAUGCUGGUGUUGGACUUGGGCGUAUGGUUCAUCCCACUGACGCUCGUCCUCGUCCCGUGCCGCCGGAUCGUGCUUCUCCUGUCCAGGCUCGAGGAGCUCCGCCGGAUCAUGGCGCGGCCGAGGCUCGCCACCGCGGACAUCUGGACCCGCUUCGCCACCCUCAACUCCAUGGCUUUCAUGGUGUGAUGGUACACACGCCGCCGCCGCUCCAUCCAUAGCUGUUUCCUCAUUGGUUGGGUGUGCUUUGCUGUCCUGGUUUUUGGCUUAUCACAAUAAGCCCCAGCUUCUGGGAAUGGGAUGUACAUACGGCUACUUACUUUUAGGACUUGCCGCAGCAUGUGUAUGUGGGACGAGAUGCAGAUGAGGACUUUAUUUACAGUGCUUCUGACAAGAGUUUCCUGAUCUUUAUAUGAUGCGUGUAUACUUGCUUCAAUUUCAACCUGAGGUUUUUCUGAACAAGCAUGCUUUUGUAGUUUUUGUUAUCGCCUGAUGAUAGAAUUUUCUGCAUAUCUUGAGUUGUUAUCAGUUUAUCACCUGAUACAAUAAGAAUAGUUGGCAGAGCUGGAUCUUUCAGGGGAAGGGAUAAAAGAUGCAGUGGGCAAAUUAUUGCAUCAGUCGGCAUGAACAGGCCUGAGAAGAUAAGGAUCAAGCUGGGCAGAUUCUGCUGAUUUUGAAAAGCAUCCCGUGCUUAGAUAACAUGAGAAGCCGGUCGCUGUGAAACGGAACACUGGACAGCAGACCAUAUAAUAAGUGGUCUACCUUGGACGAAUGUCUUCCUUGGCCCCCUAAAAGAAAAGAUAUACAUGGUGCUGUCAUCGUUUAGAUGAUGAUAAGGUCGACCCACAGGCCACUAGAGCACAAACUCCACCGAGGCACUGAGCAAUGCCUAAACUAGACUCAUCAUUCUGCAAAAGAUGUGCCUUACCGACAGUCAACUAAUCAAACUGGUUUUCGAUAGCCGUGCGUGUAAGGAAGGAGGAAACUAGGGAUGGCAACGGGGUGAGUCGGGGUCGGGUGAAGCUUCCGCGGACCCACCCCCAAAACACAAAUUGUAAAUCCAUCCCGAACCGAAACACCAAUUGGGUGGAAAUGUUGCCCCGACCCCGAAACCCGCGGGUGCCCGAAACCCGGCGGGUCCCUCGACACCCGCGGGCGAGGGGCGCAGCCGGUGCGCGUGGCUAAGGGGGCGGGGUGGAUAGGCCACGGGCGGAGAGGGGAACCGAGGGAGAGGGAGGGGGCAGCGCUCGGGGCCUCGGGGGCGAGGGGCGUGGGCAGCCGGCAUGAGGGCGCGGGCGGCGCUCGCGGCGAGGGGCGUGGGCGGCGCUUGCGGCUCGGGCGGUCGACGUGGGGCGCUCGUGGUGAGGACGGCUGGCGGGGGGAACUGGCGGCGCGAGGACGGCCAGCGGGGGGCGCCAGCGGCGCUCUGGCGAGGGGGCGACAUAGGGAGCCUGUAGAUGAAUCUAAGGUGCGACGCAGGGUGAUGGAUGGAGUGGGGAGUCAUAUAGGCCCUGUUUGGCAUGGCUCCAGCUCUGGGUGGAGCUGCUCUACUCCAAAACUCCAGGUAGAGUCAGCUCCACUCCAGAACUUCAGAAAUAAAAUGGGGUGUUUGGCUAGAUGGGUACUCUCAGCUCCAAAAAAAAAUCAAUUUCAGUGUUAAUUGCCAUUGUUGCCCCCAAUUCAGACCCCACUUGUCAUCCUCUCCCCCUCCUUUCUUCCUCCUUUCUUUUUCCUCUCUCUGCUGUUGCCCACUGCUCACCCGAAGGAAGAGGAGGGGAAGGCACCAGCAGGUGGGUGGUGCUGCCGGCGGCAGGAGGUGCGGCCGGUGGCGGGGCUCGGGCGGGCGGCGGGGGGUGCGACCGGCGGCGGGGCUCGGGCAGGCGGCGGGGGGUGCGACCGGUGGCGGGGCUUGGGCAGGCGGCGGGGGGUGCGACCGGCGGCAGGGCUUGGGCGGGCGACGGCAGGGGCAGCCGGCGGCGGGGGGUGCGACCGGCGGCGGGGCUCGGGCGAGCAGCGGGGGGUGCGGCCGGUGGCGGGGCUCGGGCGGGCGGCGAUGGGGGCGGCCGACAGCGGGGAUCGGGCGGGCGGCGGGGGUUGCGGCCGGCGGCGAGGGUAGGGCGGACAGCGGUGGGGGCGACCGGCAGCGGGGCUCCAAGGCCGGAGCGCGCGGGACGGAGGGGCCACGGCGGCCGGCGGCGGGAGCGAUGGGCGGCGCUAGCGCGGUGGAGACCGGUAGAGACGAGCGCGUGGAGUCUCGGAGGAAAAUAGAACGAACCGUUUUUUCUAUGUAACCAGUGGUAUUGGUGGGUAAUUAUCCACCAACUCCACGAGGAGGUUCAAAAGAGUGGUUUCUGGAGUAGCAAAAGAGGUGCUCCAAAACUCCACCUCCAUUUGCACUACAGCUCCAUGGAGUUGGCUGCUCCAUGGAGUUUUGGAGUUGAGGUGUUUGGCUGGAUUUUUUGGUGGAGUUGCUGGAGUUCUGGAGUGGAGCCAUGCCAAACAGGGCCACCAAAAGAGGUGUUUGGCAUGGCUCCACUCCAGAACUCCAGCAACUCCACCAAAAAAUCCAGCCAAACACCUCAACUCCAAAACUCCAUGGAGCAGCCAACUCCAUGGAGCUGUAGUGCAAAUGGAGGUGGAGUUUUGGAGCACCUCUUUUGCUGCUCCAAAACUCUCUAUUUCGAACCUCCUCGUGGAGUUGGUGGGUAAUUACCCACCAAUGCCACUGGUUACACAAAAAAACGUUUCAUUCUAAUCCUCCCGAGCUCCCACCCGUGCCUAUUUUCCCACCCCCGUCACCUGUCACCUACCGCCUCCCCGCCGCCCGUUGCCGCCCCGCCUGCCGUCCCGCCCCCGUCGCCGACCCCAUGGCCGCCUCCCCGCCGCCCUUCGCCGCCCCAUCCCGCCGCCCCACCCCCCUCGCCGCCGUCGCCAAGCCCCACCUGCCCCCGUCGCCGCCGUCGCCGAGCCCCGCCCGCCCUCGUCGCCGUCGUCGGCCCCGUGGCCGCCUCCUCGCCGCCCCGCCCCCGUAGCCGCCGUCGCCGCCCGUGGCUGCCCCGCCCCGCCCCGCCGCCCGUCACCGCCCCGCCCCCGUUGCCGCCGUCACCGGCCCCGUGGCCGCCCCGCCGCCGUCGCCGCCCAGCCCGCCAUCGGCCGGCCCCGUCGCCGCCCAGCCCGCCCACGUCUGCUCCUUUUGCCUGCUGCCAGCACCUUGCUGCAGCUGCCGCCCAAGUCCGCUCCUUUUCCUGCUGAUGCCGCGCUUGCUUGGUGAGCAGAACGUGGCAGGAGAAGAAGAUGGGAUAGAGAGGAUGACAAGUGGGGCCUAAAUUGGGGGCAACAAUGGCAAUCCACACUGAAAUCGAUCUUUUUUGGAGUUGAGAGCACCCAUCUAGCCAAACACCCCAUUUUUUCUAGAGUUCUAGAGUGGAGCUGGCUCCACUUGGAGUUUUGGAGUGGAGCCGCUCUACUCGGAGUUGGAGCCAUGCCAAACAGGGCCAUAGUUAGGGUUUUUGUUGGGCUGGGCCUAAUUUUUGGGCUGAAAUAUACAUUGUAGGGCCCCGCGGGUGGAAUUGUAAACCCGACCUCGCACCCGCCCAAACCUGAAACCCACGGGGGGGAUUCCGGACCCGCCUCCACCCCCGUCGGGUCUGAAACCCGUGGAUCUCGAGUCCAGACCUGCCCGAUUGCCAUCCCUAGAGGAAACAUGGUUGCCUAUCUUGGCCGGCCACGGUUGCGCGUUUAUAAAGGGUGAAAACCACCAAGAAAUUUACAUGGGUACAAUUGUGAUCACCUAGAACUCAUUUGCCUCAUAACUUGAAUUACAAGUAGAACCUAUCUCUAAGUAAUCCGUGUACAAUUGUGAUCACUAGGACUCAUUUGCCUCAUAACUUGAAUUACAAGUAGAACAGCAAUCCAUGUGUGGCGGAACACCUCGGAUUAACUCAACUAAAGUACGGUUAAGUCACUUAACACGCGAAUCUCAUGUUUUAAUCAAGUUAACUCGACGAUCCGUCGGAUUUCAUCCGAUUUAACCACUUAACAGGACCGAGUUAGCAUAGCUCACACGAAGGUGAGUGGUUACAGAGAAUACAAUAGAUCCACAAUUAGUUCAACAAUUCAUUACACGCUGGUUUAAAACUCUAAGGUUCGAAAAACAACUGAAGUUAGAAUAUAGCGGAAGCUAGCACCGAGGGUCGGAUAUCCCUGAUGAGGCUAAACAGGACAUCAGUGAUCCCAUUCCUCGCCGUCCGAGGAAGGAUCCCACUCAACCGUCCACCCAGGAGGAAGCUGGGGCGACCAAGUGCCAACAGCAGCACGCUCGGAAGUUUCAACUUCACCUGAAAAGAGAUGCCACAACAAGGCUGAGCUUCUAAGCUCAACAAGACUUAACCGACCGGUGGGAAAAAACUACUCCACCACUUCUAGAUAUGCAAGGCUCUGUGGCUGAGGGGUUUUGUUUGCCAAAAACAACUAUGUUAGGUCCUUACUUUCAAAGUUUCAGCUCAGAUUCUAAGUUCAUUAACCAGUCUAUAUUGGCAACUUAUACUAAACAAGCAUAGACCCCAACAUUAUGUGUAUAAACUCAACGGCAAGUUCAUGUCAUCAUCAGAUUCCUUCUUUACUCAGUGUAGCAUAGCGAUCAAGCAGUCUCAAACUGUGAGAGGCAGACGAAUCGAUUCAAGUUCCUUAACCAUGCAUGGCGAAUCUAACCUCACGACAUCCGCGCACCACCGAGGGUCGCUUGCUGUGUCGGCCGUCCCCAUCAAUUCCCUAACUCAUGUCGGACCCACUUCCCUUGGUGCAAGGUUCUACAGACCCGGCCUCUGCCGUUCCGUGACCACACUUGCCACCACAUGCGGCCGCAGGGGAAACUCCGUUCCAGAGACAGUGGAUCGAACCGCUCACGUCCAGGUUCAAUCCGGUACUAGGCUUCCCCAUCCCAUAAUGGGUAUGAGAUUAGUACUUUCAAACACUUGAUCACGAACACUACCACUGUCGGGCCUUAAACAGAUUCAAGUAAAUAGACGGGGCGAUCAGCCGACCACCAAAAGAGUUCACCAAGCCCUGCCCCGUCCAUCGUCCUUAUAGUUGUAACCAGAGGGAGAACAACCAACUCCUAUAACUCGCGAGUGACAGGAAAUCACUCGACUUCUGCCGAGCCCUAUUAAGCAGUGCAACUACUCGGACUCAACAGACUAGUGUGCAGAUCAAGGGAACUAAGUCAUGCAUCUAUGGUUUCAAACAACUCCUAUACGUAAAUGCACAUACAUGUGAAGGAAGGCAUGCGCAAGUUUAGAAAGUUGGGUGCAUGCUCCGGGGCUUGCCUUCAAGCGGGGUGGAGGCAAACUGGUCCUUAGCGGUUUCUGCUUCAGCUCCGGCGGUCGGCAGCUUAGCUACUGCUCCGUCUUCUGGCGUCGGAUGCAGUUCGUAGGUGCCGUCGGCGAGAUUUAGCUCUACACAAAUGCAAUGCAAGAGUUAGCACUUAGAUGGUUAUUUCAACAACACUUGCACGUUUAGCUCAGACACUUGUAGCAAAGCUAAAGGAAAGGCGGAUGAGUCCAGCUUCAGUUGGUGGAGCACAGGAUAAAAGGGUCGGAUGGGGAGAAACUUAUGAUCUGACCCUUAUACUUUAAGGAAUAACUGUACCGGGGUCCUCAGACUUAACACAGAGAAGUCCCCAAAAUUUUACACAGAUACCCUCGGGUCAAAGAAUAGAUACAGCCGAGCCCUCGGGCGAAGCGGAUAAGGCUCGGCGAACCAGGCAGGGUUGGGUGAGACGGAAAAAAAAGGGAUCGGGCGAACCAGACAGGGUCGGCAGUUUACCUUUAGGCCUACUGGUGAAGUCUUGGGAUCGGGAAGGAACAGACUCAGGCGGAAAGACUAAAGCGCUAAGGCUUGGAUGGCGGCGAGGUUCGACGGUGCUCCGGCGGCGGCGGUGCUUCUUGUGGACAACAAGGAAGCUCUAGCACCGUGCAGAGGAUCAGGCGGUUGGUGGGAUGGGGAGAAGCGGGUUUGAGCGGAGAGGGGAACUUCUCAAGAGCUCAAGCGGCAGUGCUCAAGUGCGAGCAGAGUGUGGUGCGGCAAAACAGCGAUGGCGAAGGAAACUCCGGUAGGGGCUCUGGUACUCCUUUUUAUAGCUGCGCGGAAGAGAGAGAGAGAGAGAGAGAGAGAGAGAGAGAGAGAGAGAGAGAGAGUUUGAGUAGCGCAAAAAUCGGGAAGAAAAGGAUAUAGUGCUCUGCCUUGGUAGCGAUUGAGCAGUGAUGGGCAGCAAAGCAGAGCUUCGGGGAUAGGGUCUUUGGCCAUUGGGCACUGGAGACAAAGCCGGCGCAGGCGCUGUUUUGCUGGGAUUAAGAGUUGGUGAAAGCGAGCAGGGUCUAGUCACGUCAAGCGGCGGAUUGUGGGCGGCGACUUGACUGGCGUGUAAUAGGAAGGAAGGCGCUACAAGCGAGGUCGUAGCAGGCAAGGUGACAGGAUGAGCGGCGGCGCGAGCGAGCGCAAAAUAGCGGCUUGCCAGGGCACAUCACUGGUGAGGCGGAAAAAGGAGUUGUCCCUGCCGGAGCCAUGGUUGGUGAGGGCGGUAUCAUCAUGGAGCGCGCUCGUGGGCGGCUCGACUGUGGAGAGGCGGAAAAGCCGGAAAGCAUCGGGGCGCGCGAUCGGGGAUCCGGACGAGGUGAUGGGUGCGGGAUGCAAGGCGGUCUGGCGCGGCAGCGGCAAAACUUCUGCCACGGUGGCGACAGGGCACCUUAGCGCGGCCGGCGAGGGUGCGAGCGAGACGAGGCGAGGCAUAAAUGGCUGCAGGGGCUUUUGCUGCGAUUGGGAGGAAGGCGCACUGAUCUAUCUUGUCGCGGUUGGCGACUAAGCGAGGCGGCGCACGUCGGAGAGAUCGAGCCACGCGGCGGGGAAGCUCUGAAGUGGGGCACACGCUGGCUCUGGCGCGUUUAACUCAAGAAAACCGGGGAUCUGGUUGUGGGUCCACCACUCAGUCUCUGGUUCUCCCACAGCUCUAAGAUUUUUGGAGGGGCGCUGCUUCGGGACUUAGAGAAGAGCUGUCGUUUGCCGGUUGGUGCGGUUUUAGGGGUCGGACCGGUGGAACUGCAGAUUGGGAUUAGCCUUGAGAUUAACUAGGCUAGUUAACCAGGGUCGUUACACCGUGUCUAUCUCUAGGACCACAACAGCAGCUAACUUGUUACAAACAUAUUUCUAACAUCCUCCCUCAAUCUAAACUUCUCUUCCUUUUGAGAUUUACAUUGUACUUGAAAUCUUCUAGUUUGCCAGCUGAUAAGGCAUUAGUAAAUUGUAGCAAAUGUGGCCUCAUUAAGCUAUAGUUUUUUUUAUUUUGGUGAUUGAGUGACAACAUAGUUAUUGAGACUAAUGCUUUCUGUAACAUGUACCUUGUAGGUUAUCUAGGUCCCAAGAAUGCAAACCAAAUCAUGGCAAGACCCAAAUGAUGCUAUUCGAGUAUCCAAGUCAUAGUAUUCAAGUAUGCAAGAUAUGGUAUUUAAAUAACCAAUCCAUGGUAUUUACGAUUAUUCUAUGGUAUUGAAACAUCCAAAUGAUAGAGAAAAACUAGAGAGAAGGAAAAAUGAUAAUUCUAGACCAUCGAAGUGACGGUAUAUUUGGUGCUUGCUUUGGACGAGUUAGAAGAAAAAAUGCACCAUCAGAUGUUCCGAUACCCCACCAAAGCAAGUGUCGGACUAACCAUCCGAGCAAUUGGUACAACUGGGAAAAUAGGGAAAAAUCUCGAGUGCACCGGAUGAUCCGAUGGGGGUCAUUUUACAAGCGUCGGAGCAAUUCGCUGAGGAAUAGCAACGGAUGUUCCGAUACCCUAUGUAGUUGACCGUCGGAUGAAGCAUAUUUACUUUGAAAUCACACAUAAGGUUUUGAUCAGAAUGCCCUUAGCACCGGAUGAUCUGAUGGCACCAUCAUAGAAAGCAUCGGAUCAAUGAUGUUAGGGGCAUCCAAUGGCUAUAUGACGUGAGCAGUGGCACCGGAUGAUCUGAUGGGGGUAUCGGAUAAAGCGUCGGGUGAAUUUCUAAGGAAUUUGGGUGCGGGGAGUCCAACGGCUAGUUGCACCGGAUGUUCCGAUGCAGGCCAAAAAUAGACCAUUGGAACAUCCGAUGGUAUGCUUUUUUACUAGCCAUUGGAGCUAUGGCUCUUUGAGCCCUUGGGGGCUAUUUAUACCCCCACCACUCGCCCAUUUGAAGUUGCUAGAGUGUCUAGGGAUGCAUUGAAGACCAAGACUCAUCAAGAACACAUCCAGUUCGUAAGUGAUACAUCAAAGGCUUAGCACAAGCUUAGGAGAGUGAUUAGUGCUAGGAUAGGCCUAGAGAGGAGUGAGUGCAAGGUGUGCUGAUGUUGUGAUCAGGUUCUAGAGUGAACCACUGCUAUACAAGAGGUGUGCUGGAGCCUUGGAACCUUGGUGGCUCGCCAGCAAGUCUUCGACCCUCCGACUUGGUGUGGAGCGGCAUCGACAACCUUGUGUGAGGGACGCGGAGACCCUCUUCCUUCGUGGAGAAGCUCCUUAGUGAAAAUGGCAUCAAGGUGAUCGAAGAACUUGGCGUGUUCCUUAGUGGCCGAGCCUUUGUGGCAAGUCAAGGGAUACCUUGGGAGAGACUUGGUGAUCGGGAAGCAAUACUCUUGUGUGAGUGCUUCAACAACAUGGACUAGUGGUGGCUUAGUGCCUAUUGAUACCACGGGAUAAAUCAUCGUGUCAAGAGUUUGUUUCCCCUCGUCCCCUUCUUACGUUUUCGCAUUUCAUACUUGCAACUUGUGUGCCUUUACUUUCCUAGAGUAGUAUCUUGAUAGGAUUGGCUAUAGGUUGCAAAACUUGUUUUGGGAUGAGGGUUUCAUACUAGAUCAACCAUAGACUGCACAUCUAGAUAGCAUGAUCUAGUUUAUGUUUUAAUGCAAAGUAGUGGAAGUCAUAGGUUAAGUUUUUAAGUUGCCUAAUUCACCCCCUACCCCUCUUAGGCUACGAGCACCGAUUCCUUUCAUAAAUCUAUCUGCAACUUGAUCAUGAGUAGACACUAAUCUAACUUGUAAUUGUUUCUUGGUGACUCUCUCGAACAAAGUGAAAAUCAAUUUCAAUAUGUUUUGCUUGAGCAUGAAAAACUGGAUUUGCUGAAAGAUAAGUAGCUCCCAAAUUAUCACACCAUAAAAUAGGCGGCUGUUGCAAUUGUAUUCCAAGUUCUAGCAACAAAGACUCCAGCCAAAUCAACUCUGUAGCAGCAUUGGCCAUAGACUAUAUUCUGCUUCAGUACUAGACCUUGAGAUCGUAGCUUGCUUUCUAGCACUCCAAGACACAAGAUUAGGACCAAAAAAUAUUGCAAAUCCUCCAGUAGAUUUUCUAUCAUCAACACUACCAGCACAAUCAGCAUCAGAGCAAACACCCAAAGUCAUUGAACUUGACUUCUUUAUGUAUAACCUAACAUCCAAUGUAAAUUGCACAUAACGAAGAAUUCACUUAACAGCAGUCCAAUGAAUAGACAUUGGUGCAUGCAAAAAUUGGCAUACCUUCUUGACUAAAAAAGCCAGAUCAAACCGUGUAAGAGUGAGAUACUGUAACGCCCCAACUAGACUCCUGUAAUGUGUGCUAUCCUCUGGGCCCAGCGGUUCACCGGCAAAACUUGAGAGCUUUUUAGAACUUGACAAUGGUGUUGAAGAGCCUUUACACUUCACUAUACCAACUCGUGUUAGAAUCUCUUGUGCAUACUUUUCUUGAGAUAGUAACAAUCCUUCUUUAUUUCUUUGAACCUCAAUGCCCAAGAAGUAAUUCAAGUUACCAAGAUCCUUUAGAGCAAAUUCUUUCCUCAAAUCCAAGAUUAAGGGCGAAACAGCUUCACUAGAUGAACUAGUGACAAUGAUAUCAUCAACGUAUAUAAGCAUAUAAAUAAUAAUUCCUAAUUUUUGAUAAAUAAAUAGAGCAUUAUUUUAUUUUGAAGCUAUAAACCCAAUGUCAAUAAGCUUAGAACUUAACAUCGCGUACCAGGCACGUGGAGCUUGUUUCAAACCAUAAAUUGCUUUAUCAAGUCUACAAACUAGAUGUGGCACAUCACAUCUUUCAAAAGCCGAGGGUUGUUUCAUAUAUACCUCCUCUUCCAGAACACCGUGUAAGAAUGCAUUCUGAACAUCCAACUAUCUUAAACACCAACCUCUAGAAAUAGCCAAAGACAAAACAACUAUCUCCAAUAUUGAAGGUCUAGCACUGAAGACAAAACAAUCUUGACAACCGAACUAAAUGUAUCCUCAUAAUCAAUUCCAUAUCUCUGCCGAAAACCCUUUGCUACCAAACGUGCCUUGUAUCUGUCAGUUGUCCCAUCAGCCUUCCUCUUGACCUUGUAUACCCAUUUGCAGUCAAUUAGAUUGCAGCCAUAUUUGGGUUCAACUAAAUGCCAAGUAGUGUUUCUAAGUCAUGUCAAAAAUUCCUCUUGCAUAGCUUAUCUCCACCGUGAAUUAUUUAGCGCUUCUUGUAAACUUUUAGGUUCUCUACAGAAGUUCCCAUAUCAAAUAGUCCCAUCUGUAAACCUUUUGGGUUUGACAAUAUCAUGUUGAAUGCAUGUGCGUCAUUAGGAAGGGACAUCAGACUCAACUUGCUGCACCGGCAAACUAGAUCUGACGGGAGGCAUAGAGAAUCCGGCGAAAGACCCUGUCGACGCGGCGGGAGACACUGUCGGCGUGGCAGCGGGAGACUAGACGCCACGCGGCAGCAGCAAAUAGGUAGGCAGAGAGGAACAACUGCGAGCGGUUGAGCGGGCCUGGGUGAAUGUAACAUCCGCAGAAAUCACCAACUAAAAUCACCCGUUAAAAAUCGCCUUUAAAAUCUUUUUACCGCUGAGCUCCCGGAAAUCGAGAAUUCCCCGGCGAUUUCGCCGUCCCGGCACCCAUGCCGACCCCUACCUUUUUAUCUGUGCCCGUAAAUCUCGCCGCGUGCCAUCGACAGACCGCCACGCGCGUGCUCCGACCACGCGCCGCAAUCGCCGCCGGUUCCCCCUCCCUCUUUCUUUCUCUUUUUCCUCCCCUUUCUUUUUCUUUUCCUUCUUCCUUUCUUCCUCCUUCUUCUUUCUUCUUCCUUCCUUCUUCCUUUCUUCCUCCUUCUUCUUUCUUCUUCCUUCCUUCUUCUCUUUCCUCUCUCUUUCUUCUUCCUGGUUGCUGGCGCCACUCCUCCCGGCUGGCCUCACCUCCACCACCGACCGGACCCCCCCUCCCCCGGCCUUAACUCCCGCCGGCCGCGCCGGCGCCCUCGGGAGGCGCGCCGCCCGUCGACCGGUCCCACGCCGGGACCCCGACGCCGGCCCCCUACCUCCCCUGCUCCACCUCCGGCCUGGCCACGGCACCGGUGCCGUGCCGGCCACCGCCGCCCGCCGCCCCUCGGAGCUCGAGCCCCUACCGCCGCCGGCCCAGCCUGCCCGGCCCCCACCUCCCUGCCGCGCGCCGCCCGCCAGUCGGACCCCCACUCCCUGCCGCCGGCCAUCACGCCACCGCCGGCCUAUAAAAGGGCACCGCCCGGCCAUCUCCCCACUCCAUCCGCCCGCCGCCUUGCUCCUUCCUUCACCAAGCACCACCACCACCCGUGCACCGCCGCCUGUGCCACUCCUCCCGUGCCGAGCCGCCGCCGCCGCCACCCGUACGCCGCUCGUGGCAAGCCGCCGCCACCUUGCCCACCGCCGGCCGCACCUCCCCCAUCUCUCACCCCCAAGGUAAGGGGCAAAAUGGGGCCCCCUCGACUCCCUCCACCGCCCCCUCCGCCCACGGCUCGCCGCCGGCGAAGCCCGGCCGGCCGGCCGCUGCCGGCCAAAUCUCUUCCCCACUCUCCCUCUCUCUGUUCCUGGGGAGAAGAAGAUAAGAUGCCCAGAUUUUCGAUCUGACCCCCUCUUUCUUCUAUUAGCAAAUGAGUCCUUCCACCACUCUCAAGAGAUUCUCAUGGAUAAGCCCCUCCACCUCCAUAAAUAUUUACAGAUAGGUCCCUGGUUUAGUACAAAACAGUCCUAAACCUCCUAUUUAAGCCCUAAUUCAUGUUUAACCCGUCAUUUCAUGCGCCAAACAUCCUCCAAUUAAUCCCAAAUUUCACCACGUCAUCCUCCAAAAUACUUUCGCCGAUCCAUAUCCAAAUUUUCCAAAAAUAAUCCUUCUACCUAUUUUCCGUUCACGUUUUCUGUUCCGAGCUCACGGUUAAAAACCGAUCUUUCUUUUAUUUAUUUGUGUGUCUGUUUGUGUGUGCCGUAGAUUGCGGAUUGCCCGAGGAGGAGCCCGAGGAGGAGUUUGACCGCGAGCCCGAGCCCGAGGACCAGUACCGCGUGCCGGAACUCCCGGAAGGCUUUGAAGACGGCAAGUCCAAUCUCACCCUUUGAUGCAUAUUUAAUACCUAGUUUUUCAAACACAACCCAUUGGCCUGUUUUACAAAUUGUAUAUUAUUUCAUCGCAAGACAUGGUUGGAUAGCCACCUCCUUGAUUGUUAUGAACAUUCCUUGCUAUCCUAUGGUUGUCUCUAAAUAUGACACGCUCUAUUUAGUCGAUAACCACCGCUAGAAUGCUUAGGAAAUUACUACUUAACUGCAAUCAUUAUUACAAUGGUGUAUUCGGAAAAUAAAUGUGUGUGUGUGUGUUCAAGUGAGAAAAAUGGCUUUUUGGGUUCAAGGGAAAAGGGUGUGUAGACAGGAUGGAUGGGUAUUCCUUGUGUGGGAUGCCAGAAUGUUGUGCUCGUACCUUGGUGGUUGAGCAAUGUCGGGAGAUAUCCAUCUUGUCGUGAUUAAGAACCGAGUUGAUGUGUCAUCUUUCCUAAUUCCACCAUCGUGCAACCACUUGACCGUUGUAUGGGCAACGGCUUAGCAUAAAUCCCACUAGCUGAAUUGUUAGUCCUCAGGGGUGCUGGUGAGCAACAGGAGCCCAUGGAAAAGGAGUAAGAUCUUGGUGACUUAGGUCCCGGUUACGGUCUCGUGGACGAGCCGUGAACCCCUUGGGUGCUUCCGCGAGGGCUAGCCAGUCUUAGCUAAGGUGGGUAAUGGCUUUGUUAGGAUCCGCACCGGUACUAAGGUGAUCGUGCUGCGGUACCCUACUUGUGGGAAAAGUGUACAACCUCUGCAGAGUUAAAACCUAUCCGGGUAGCCGUGUCCACGGCAUUGGGCGAGUUACGGCUUGGUCACAUAACUAGCACUUGGGCAUGGAUGGUCACGUGUGUGUGUGCGUGCGUGUGUGUUGGAUUUUCGGAAGUGUCCGGCAGCUGUGCCGUGAGCUAUGACGGACGGGGAGUCCGAUAGCGAUAAAAACUUGGAUCCUUUGUAUAGGAUCAACCCCACUCCUUGCUCGGUUACUAAAGCAAAGUUUUACAAAAAUUUAUUUGAAAACGAGCCUAUGCAUGUAUUAAAAUUUAGCUUUAUUGCAAAUGAACCUUAGCCUAUCCUUAUUAUACCCUGUGCAUAAACUUGCUUGUUUUCCCCUCCGUGGAUGGGGUUGGACUUGUUGAGUACGUUCGUACUCACCCUUGCUUCGUUGCUACAGAGGAAGACCCGGACUUCAUCGCCGAGGACCUUGAGUAGAGGUUGUGUCCGCACCCAACGCUGCCUGUGGUGUUGGCCUUUCCAAGAUGCUGCUGCUGCCGUGUAGUCCCGAGUGCUGUCUUUUGACAGUCGCUUGGUUAGCCGUUGUUCUUUAUUUACUGCUUAUCGCUGCGUGGCUUUCACGCCCACUCCCUCAGGAGUUGUACGGUAACUGAAUUAUCUGUCGAAUAAAUGUGUUAUCAGCCUCCUGGGACUGAUAUUUGUAUCACAUUUAGUCUCUACUUAUGUGGGGACGCUUCAGUGAGCCACCCCGGGAAUCAGUGCCCGAUCCGGCAGCGUGCGCAGGCGCAGGCGGAUCCGCCUGGGAUCCGAUGGUGGGAUCUUCUGCGGCAGGGACUUUAGCAACGCCCGAAUCAUUAACAUAGGCAACUUCUUCUCCAAUAUUGAGCUCCAAAUUUGAUGGAUUUAAUUCUUGCGCAUCACCAAUAUUCUCACCAGAACCAUUAGUAAUAUUAGUAACAUUAGGCACACAAUUUACAUCCCCAUAGCUAAGCAAAUGUGAAGGUAAAAGAAUAAUCUCUUUGCGCAAUUGAGCAUCAGCAUUAGGAUUAAGAUGAGCAAAAGGGAAAAAUGCUUCAUCAAAGACAACAUCCCUGGAGAUGUAGAUGCAGCCAGUCAAGAUGUCAAGGCAUUUAAAACCCUUGUGCAAGGCACUAUAUCCUAGAAAGGCACAGCGAAUAGAACGGAAGGCAAGUUUGCGUGAAUUGUAUAGCUGCAAGUUGGGCCAACAAGCACACUCAGAGACUCUUAGAGAUGUAUAAUCUGGAGUUUCUUGAAGGAGCCGAGAAACAGGAACAUCAUAGCAAUUAACUUUGCUAGGAAGGAGAUUAAUGAGAUAGGUAGCUGUAAGAAAAGCAUGAUCCCAAUAUUUCAAGGGCAUGGAUGCAUUAGCGAGGAGAGCAAGACCAACCUCAACUAUAUGUCGGUGCUUUCUUUCGGCAGCGCCAUUUUGUUGAUGAGCAUGAGAACAAGAAACUAGAUGUGUUAUUCCUAUGCGUUGAAAGAAGGAAUUCAACCUCUCAUAUUCUCCUCCCCAAUCCGAUUGGAGAGACUUAAUCUUCCGACUGAACUUUCUUUCUAAUAGUUGUUGGAAAUAUUGAAAAACUUGAAAGACAUCAGAUUUUUUUCUUUAGCAAAUAGAUCCAUGCAUAUUUGCUAAAAUCAUCAAUAAAGCUAACAUAGUAGCUAUGUCUCCCAACGAAUAAAGGAGUUGGUACCCACACGUCAGAAAAAAUUAAAUCAAGGGGAGAUUCAGAUGAACUUACAAAUAGAUUCAGAUGAACCUAAAUCAAGUUGGUGGCUCUUGACCAUUUGACAUGAAUUAGAAAUAGACUUUGAAUCUUUAACACUAGCACAUGGAAGUUUAUUCAAACUAAGAAUUUUUUCUACAAUAGGAAAAGCUGGAUGACCAAGUCUACUAUGCCAUCGAGUAGUUGAAGGUUUAUUGACUGCAAAGGCUUGUUUUCUGGAAUCUUCUGGAGACAGAUGAAAUCCUAAAGGAUAGAGACCACCUCGGGAUCUACCUUGAUGGAUGACUUUCUUUGUUUCCUAAUCCUUUAUACAAAAGAAAUUUGGAUGAAAUUUUAUGAAAGAAUCAUUAUCUUGAGCUAGCUUAUGAACAGAAACUAAAUUAUUGGUAGCACUAGGAACAUGAAGGAUAUUUUUUAAAACAAUAUUCUGGCUUGAAAUUAAUCCAAGAGCAUUAUAUAUGCAUGUGCAUCUCAUAGUCUGAAUCUCACUCUUUGUGAUAUGGCAAAAUCUUCCAAGAUAGCUAUUUCAUUCUUCGGUGUUAUACAAAGGAUAUAUUGUUUGUUUGCACGCUCUACUAAAAGGUGAAAAUAUUUGACUGAUAAUGUUGAGAGGUGUCAAAUAAAAAGUGUGCAACCUAUCAGGUAUCAAGCCCCACAAAUAAUAUAAGCAUUGAAGGAAGUGGAAAGAACUGCUAUUGAUGACCCAAAAAUAGUAAGUGAUGCUCAAUCAUUGGCAACUGCACUUGAGAAAUUUGAAUUUAUAGUUGGUAUGGUUAUCUGGGAUGAUAUUUUAUCUACUAUCAACAUGGUGAGCAAAAAGUUACAAUCUAAGAUUGUGUGCUUAGAUGCUACUCUCAAACAUAUUGAGGGGCUCAUCUCAUAUUUCCAAAAGUAUAGAGAAGAAGGUUUCAAUGCUAGUAUUGAGAUUGCAAAAUCCAUUGCACCUAGUAUGGACAUAGAGCCAAAAUUUCCUACAAAACGCCAAGGUAAAAAAAAGAAGCAUUUUGAUGAACAAAAUGAUGAAACUGAAGAAUUACAACUUUCAGCUAUAGAUGAGUUCAAAGUUAGUUACUUCCUAGUUAUUGUGGAUGCUGCUAUUGCUUCAUUGACUAGUAGAUUUGAACAGCUAAAGAAAUUUGAAGAAAUAUUUGGUUUCUUAUUCAACUCAGAAAAUCUGAAGUCCUUGGAUGAUAAUGAUCUACGAAAGUGUUGCACUACUUUUGCAAAAUCUUUUUCUCAUGACAACAAGUCUGAUGUUGACUUGGAUGAUUUUUUCUCUGAAUUAAAAGUGUUGCAAGUAUCUUUGCCAGAACAAUUGAUGUCAGCAUCCGAGAUUCUUCAGUUUGUUAAAGCUGUAGAUUGCUAUCCGAAUGCCUCCAUUGCAUAUCGGAUUCUCUUAACUAUUCCAGUGACAGUAGCAUCAGCCGAGAGAAGUUUCUCCAAAUUGAAACUAUUGAGAAAUUAUUUGAGAUCAACUAUGUCACGAGAAAGAUUGAAUGGCUUGGCUAUGUGCAGGAUUGAGAAGGAUGUUUUGGACGACAUUAAUCUUGAUACCAUUCCUGAAGAUUUUGCAUCAAGAAAUGCUCGAAGAUGGUUUUUUACAAAGCACUGAAGCAUUAUAUUUUUAUUUAAGGUAAUCAUAAUGGUUAUUGUUUUUAGUUUUCUUGUUACACUAUUGUUAUAUUUUAUGAGCUAUAUAUAUUGCAAAGUAAUUUUUAUUAUUUGUACUGUAUACUUAAGUUUUCAAAUUAAAAAUUAGUUCAAGGGGUCCUUAUUUUCAUCUUGCCCAAGGGCCCUUGAUAUUAUAGAGCCGGCCCUGCUUGGUAGCGCGAGCGUGGGAUUAGAUGGUGACGCCAUAGGCUUGAUUUGGGAGGUUGUGGAUGUUUAUGGAAGAGGAUGCUCUAAUUACCAUGUAAGAAAGGAGUAAACGUGGUUGACUAUCUUGGCCGACCACGGUUGCGCGUUUAUAAAGGGUGAAAAUCACCAACAGAUUUACAUAGGUACAAUUGUGAUCAUCUAGGACUCGUUUGCCUUAUAACUUGAAUUGCAAGUAGAACGUAUCUCUAAGCAAUCCAAGCUAGGACCACAACCGCAGCUAACUUGUUACAAACAUAUUUCUAACAGUGUGCACCGAAAAAGUUGAUGCUGACCAUUGCAUGAAACUGGUUUGGGCGCUACUGGGCGGACUGUCAGGACUACUCCCCAGACCCACGAGUAGACCUUGGACAGCCCACUAAGGGACGUACUCGGACGUGAUCAGAACAAGGAUGGGCGUAUCCUACUCGGAGUAGUCUUGUAUGUUUGUGGAAAACUACUUGGGCCGAUACCAAGUAGAACUCUAUAAUAGUACCCGACUAGGACUCAGACUUGUAACCCUGCCCUCCCGUGUAUAUAAGGCCGGGCAGGGACCCCCCUCAAACAACAAUCCUCAAGACCAGAACGUACAUCAAUACAAACCAACACACAGGACGUAGGGUAUUACGCGAUCUAGCGGCCCGAACCUGUCUAAAUCGUGUUCCUUGCGUCACCAUUGAUUCCUUGAUUCUCGACAACCCUUACCGCACAAAAGACCACCUAGGGUACCCCUAGGCAGGUUGCCGGUCUAAAACACCGACACGGACCCCGUUGCCAAAUCUCGGAGACAAUCACGCCAGAUGGCAAGCAACGAAAGGAAAACAGAGAUAAAAUAGUAGGAAGAUCUUAAUACUGUAUUAGUGAUGCCUUCGUAAGGAAAAAUGCUAUCGUUAUCACAGUGGAUCGAAAAAACCAACCAACAUUCUCUUCAAAAUACAGUAUCAUUUGCAUCUUUUUUCAGAUAGUUGAAAUGUUGGAUUCGUAGGACACGCUAGCCGAGGGGGAAAAAAGGGUAGUAAUCAGGAAGAAAAAUAGGAGAUCGUAUGGACUAUUACAACAACCUACUAAACCAUGAUACGUACCAUGUACUCACAUCAUAACAACCAUCGCUAUCUGAAACUAGCUACGAUGACUAACAUAGUACUCGAAGCUUCGCCCUUAUCCGCCAUCAUCUAACCAAUAACCUCGUGGGGAGCACUGGGUUUUGUGCUUUGGCACAGCACAGCAGGCAAGACCUAAUACGCAAAGCAAGCUGCAGUCUGGUAGGGCCUCAUCAGCACCUCCAAACCGUACCGAUCUCUCUCGUUGAUUUCAGGGAGUAAAAUUAAAAACUGUGAGAGUGCACUAACACUAACCUCGUGCCGGUGUCGCGGAGGUGAAUCGCGGAACCGAUUCAGCCGAGAUGUAAGGCUGUCCACACCGCGCGCCGCUAAACCCGCUGCAGCGCGGUACUGGAUGGCUGCCGCUAUGGAAGCGGUCGGUCGGUGGACUGCUACUCCUGGAGGACGUGCCUGCCGCCCGCUAUCCGCUUCCCGAGGUUCCGCGCGGAGAGAGAGAGUUGGGAAGAGAGAGGUAGGGGAAGGGAGGGGAAAAAUAUGGAGUAGUUAGUAUAGAGUAUGAGAUAGAGAUAACACAAGUGUGGAAGAAAUGAAUAUAGAGUAGAGAAUCUCGAUGACUAGGAUAGAAUAUUCUUUUUAGAGUAUGAAAAUAGAGGUUGACGAGUGUGGAUAGCUUAACCCCGCUACGAAUUCGGAUGGCAACUUGACCUUGUAGUGGGAGGACUAGGAGGAGGGCGGCGACUUUUAUUUACCAGUUGACCGGGAUCCAAUUCGAACAGACCGCCAUCACGGCAGAGAGCACGAGCGUAUCAACCUCCAGACUCCAGUCGUCGACUUUCCCCAAGGUGAAGGGAUUUUUUUUAAGGCUUGAUUUGGCAGCAAGGGAGUCAAACCCUAGGGAGCAAAGCCACCAGGAGGAUUUUAGUGGCAAAUCAAUUUUUCGGUGGUAAAUCAAUAGGCCGGGAGGAUCUCCCCACCUAGGUUUGGGAACCAAAAGGCUAAAUUCCUCUUUGGAGCAAAAAAAAAUACUUCAAAAAAUUAAAAUAAAGAAAAAUAAGAAAUAAACAUUCUUGUUCAAAUAAAUGCAUCCUUGUUCAAACGCAUUCAAAUAGCAUAGAUGGUGAUAAAUGGGUGGGUGUGAGUGGCUGACCCAAAGCGACUCGGGAUGUGCUGAGUAUAAUGUAUGUGUGCAGAAGAUGGGAAGUGAUGGUCCAAAUCAAAACUCUCAUCCCCAUUACUCAGCUCAAUAACAUCAGCAGUUCAACACAGUAGUAAUAAGCAGUAAAGCAUUACAUACUUUAGCACAAUUACGACUACAACGACCGGUGAUUCUCAGUAGAAAUAGAGCAUUCAAACAUAGCACCUAUGGUUUAGCUAGAUGCUUAGCUAAAAUAAACGCAUUCAAACAGUACUGAAACUGAGCACAUAUGGUUUAGCCAAUUCCAGCCACAUCCCUAUUUCCAUCGGUAAUAAAACAUAGCACAGAUAGUUCAUUCCAUCCCAAUGAUACCAACUUGGUUCUGAUCGUGUGGUAGUUAGCUCACUGAAGUAUAGAUCAUGAGAGAUCUACACUCAGAUUAACAAUUAAAGGCUUAGAUUCAGCAUAUAAUUCAAAGCAGACAAAUAUAGACAAAUAGACAUGUUAAUCAAUAGUUAAGUUAAUGAUCAAGAUAGUAAUUCAUAGAAGCUACAGAAGGUUAAUAAUUCAGAAGCUACAGAAGGUUAAUAAAUUGUCACAGAAGCUACAAAAGUUAGCAAUUCAGAAGCUACAGAAGGUUAAUUCAGAAGCUACAAAAGGUUAAUAAUUGUCAUACACUGAGCAUAUUCAAAGAGACAUACCUAAUUUUUUGCUUUAGCCACAUUAAUCAAACAUUAGGAUUCUUGGUUGUAAUGAAUAUCUUCCUAUGUGUCUCAAACUCAAAGACAUCGAAAGCAUAUGACUUCUCGUUAUCGGUUAAUUUAGACAUAGCAUCCACUUGAUCAAUACACUUCUCAACUGAAAAUUCUUCCUCACGCACUUUCCUUUCUUCAAGAGCUUGCAAAGUUUUUCUGGUUUGGCUCUUUUUGUACUCCACAUAUCCCUCAAGAGCAGAUCCAAUGUGACUUUGCUUACGCUUUCUCCCACUUCACCAUCUUCCUAUAUUGAAUCUUGAGCUUCAUUGCAUUUAUUAUGUGCACUAGAAGUCUCUUGGCCAUCGAAACUCGAAGCAAAUGGAUUAGCAUCCAAGUGACUGCUGCUUUAUUCAAAGUUAUUUCUUUCAACAGGAGGUGCAGGAGGAGGAACAGUAGGAGCAACGGGAGGAGGAAGAGCAGGACGUGCAGGAGCAGAAGGUGGAUCCACUUGCAUGGUUGAUGUGAAGUUUAGUUUUCCUGUAGCAACACUUCCUUUUUUCAGGAGACAAUUGUAACUCAUAUUAGAACCACAAAAUUGUUUGAUACUGAAAGCAAUGAAAUUAAGCUAUGCAAGUGAGGAAACUUCACCUACAUAAAUUAAGCUAUGUAGCCUUUCGUUGCUAACAUUGUGUGAGAGCAUAAACAUGAACAUCCCAAGCUGCUCCUCAACAGCAACACCUCGUGUGUCAUGGAGCAAAUUCUCUCUUCUAAGAAAGCCUGCUGUGACUUUAAAUAUUUCAGACUCCAUUCAGAACUCAACUUUACACCAACUCAGGUGACCUUCAAGGAUUUCCUUAACCUUUUUAGCACCAGGAAGAGAAGAUGUGUGCACAGACAUUUUCUCUUCUUGUAGGUAUGGAAUUAUGGCAGGAACAAGUACAAAAAAUAGCUCAUCAUCCUUUUCCUCCUCCAACAAGAACUGCCUAACUUGCUCCUCCCAAAAUCCCAUUUUCUAAUGUACGUAUAUAUAAAUCAUAUUCUUAAUUAGCGCAAUGAUCUAAGCAUUUAUCAUAUACUUAAUAAUAAAAAAUAGGAAAUGAAUACACGCAGCAAGUAAGAGAAAAUGAUAGCGCCCAUAUAUAUCUAAACUAAGAGAAAUCAGGCUAACAAACCAAUAUAGUAACCCAUCAAAUAGAACAAUAAAUCAACAAGAGCAGCCAACCAAUAACUUUCAGCUUGGAUUUCACCAUAUAGCCUAGAUCCCUAGAAAAAUAGGUUCCUAAAAGAUUUCAUACAAGGCUACAACCUCAUAAAUAAUGAAUUAUCGGAAAGGACAGAAAAGAUGAUGGCAUCAAACAGGGUUGCAUAUGUCAGAGUGAUGCACGAAUAGAGUUUUCAAUUAAUAGAACAAUUCCGCCAGCUGACAGCAUAUGAGCCAACUUGCCACAGUAAAAUAGCAUUCAACAUCACAUGUCAGUACUUCCCCAAUAAAAGAAAAGGCGCUCAUUUUUUCUAACCACAAUAUAGCUAGAAUCAAUCCAAUCUCCAAUUCCACAAAUCAUCAUAAUACAAGUACCAAAAUUUUCUUUUUAUGCCUGUGAUGAUGUGAAUAGAAGUAUACAAGCACCAUAGAGUCUAGCAUAGCCACACAUCAUGCCACAAACCAAAAACAUGUCUGGUGCUGAGUUACUUGACUAGAAUUUUUGUUGACAAAAGUUCAAGCUCAUAACUGAUCCCUGUAUGAUUGAAUUAGUUUACGUCACCUAAUAUCACUAGAAGUAAAAAUUCCAAACAUGUAUUUCCUGAUCGGUUCUAUAGUUCCCAAUUAGCCAUCAGAAUGAAUAUGAAUAAAACUCGCCACUUCACAUCAUUUGGAUCAAAUAUGCAUGAACAGCUACACAAAGAAAUGCGACACACAAAUCAAAAGAUGCUUUACACAUUAAAAUGAAUCAAUAUGCUAAACCCAAUAAAUGGAUGCCACAUCCAGGCUAAGGUACAAUACCAGGAAAGGAAAAAAAGAUUUAUGCUCUUAACGAAUCUAGGGCUUCAUCCAGAUAAACCAAUCAUUUGUACAAUGAAAAACAAACCAAUACUUGAAAACACUACCUCUAGACAUGCAGAGAUAGAUACUAGAUACAAAAGAAUAUCAUUUCUACGUAUAAAAAAAUCAGAAAUGCGGCACCUCCUACUUCCAAACAUAUUUGGAUCAAAAUGAACAUUCCUACAAUAGAAAUGGGACAACUCCCUACCAGAUCUUUGCGUAUUCAUACACAUUUCAGCAUCAAAAGAAAGAUUCUUAUAGACAAAAGAAAAGAGUAAAAGGUGGCACCUGAUGGCUGAUGGGGAGGCGGAGGUGGCAGGGGAGUCCGAAUCUAGCAAGUCCCCCGCCGUAGGAACUGCGUCAGUGUCGGGGAUAGAUCCCCAGUACCUGCAAGGAAGGAAGAAGGCGGAUUCCUACUAGAAUUCCCCUGUAAUCCUACUACGAUUCAUACCACGUAAUCCUACUAGGACUCCUCCUUAUAACCGACUAAUUAUCUCACCCCCGGAGUAUAUAAAGGAGGGCGAGGGUACCGUCUGCGUCCCAUGACCCGAGUACAAGGUGGAGCCCAGUCGGAAUCGUGCUCUCCAUCACCGAGUUGUACUCGGCUUUGCCGAAAACCAAAAGCUACACACCACCAGAAGAAAAUGUAUUGCUAUCUCUGCAGUGUUUCGGAGGCGGGCAAGAAAAUUGCCAACCCGCGAAUCAAGAAAAACAAAAAAAA
rnacentral:lncRNA from 1 species